rnacentral:tRNA from 1 species
GGCCCUGUGGCCUAAUGGAUGAGGCGUCUGACUUCGGAUCAGAAGAUUGCAGUUUCGAGUCCUGCCAGGGUCU